AAACGUAGGACGCAAGCGUUAUCCGGAAUUACUGGGCGUAAAGGGCGUGCAGGCGGUUCUUUAAGUUAGGCGUGAAAGCUCCGGGCUAAACCUGGAGAGGUCGUCUGAUACUGGGGAACUAGAGUGUGGUAGAGGGGUGUAGAAUUCCGGGUGUAGUGGUGAAAUGCGUAGAUAUCCGGAGGAAUACCAGUGGCGAAGGCGGCACCCUGGGCCAUAACUGACGCUAAGACGCGAAAGCAUGGGUAGCGAACGGGAUUAGAAACCCCGGUAGUCCAUGCCGUAAACGAUGUGCACUCGGUGUUCUGACAGGGAAGCCUGUUGGAGUGCCCCAGCAAACGCGGUAAGUGCACCGCCUGGGGAGUACGGUCGCAAGGCUAAA
rnacentral:rRNA from 1 species